CCUACGGGUGGCAGCACUGAGGAAUAUUGGUCAAUGGGCGUGAGCCUGAACCAGCCAAGUAGCGUGAAGGAUGACUGCCCUAUGGGUUGUAAACUUCUUUUAUAAAGGAAUAAAGUGAGUCACGUGUGCUUUUUUGUAUGUACUUUAUGAAUAAGGAUCGGCUAAUUCCGUGCCAGCAGCCGCGGUAAUACGGAGGAUCCGAGCGUUAUCCGGAUUUAUUGGGUUUAAAGGGAGCGUAGAUGGGAUGUUAAGUGAGUUGUGAAAGUUUGCGGCUCAACCGUAAAAUUGCAAUGGAUACUGGCAGUCUUGAGUGCAGUUGAGGUAGGCGGAAUUCGUGGUGUAGCGGUGAAAUGCUUAGAUAUCACGAAGAACUCCGAUUGCGAAGGCAGCAUACUAAACUGCCACUGACGUUGAUGCUCGAAGGUGUGGGUAUCGAACAGGAUUAGAUACCCCUGUAGUC
rnacentral:rRNA from 1 species